rnacentral:rRNA from 1 species
GAGUUUGAUCAUGGCUCAGAUUGAACGCUGGCGGCAUGCCUUACACAUGCAAGUCGAACGGCAGCACGGGAGCUUGCUCCUGGUGGCGAGUGGCGAACGGGUGAGUAAUGCAUCGGAACGUAUCCUGGAGUGGGGGAUAACGUAGCGAAAGUUACGCUAAUACCGCAUAUUCCUGUGAGCAGGAAAGCGGGGGACCUUCGGGCCUCGCGCUCUUGGAGCGGCCGAUGUCGGAUUAGCUAGUUGGUGAGGUAAAGGCUCACCAAGGCGACGAUCCGUAGCAGGUCUGAGAGGAUGAUCUGCCACACUGGAACUGAGACACGGUCCAGACUCCUACGGGAGGCAGCAGUGGGGAAUUUUGGACAAUGGGGGCAACCCUGAUCCAGCCAUGCCGCGUGAGUGAAGAAGGCC